UACGGGGGGGGCAAGCGUUGUUCGGAAUUACUGGGCGUAAAGGGCUCGUAGGCGGCCAACUAAGUCGGAUGUGAAAUCCCCAGGCUUAACCUGGGAACUGCAUCCGAUACUGGAUGGCUUGAAUCCGGGAGAGGGAUGCAGAAUUCCAGGUGUAGCGGUGAAAUGCGUAGAUAUCUGGAGGAAUACCGGUGGCGAAGGCGGCAUCCUGGACCGACAUUGACGCUGAUGAGCGAAAGCUAGGGGAGCAAACGGG
rnacentral:rRNA from 1 species